CUCAGCGGCUUGGGGUGAGAAAUGCCAAGUCGGGGCAUUCUAGGUCGUCUGAAGUUCACAGAACAUAAAGUUCAAGGCAUGGACGGCCAUUUGUGGGGCUGGACAGAGGAGCAUGGGGUAUGUCAGGAAAGUUCGUGCUGCUAGGCAGAGGAACUGCAGCUUGUUGGCAGGUGAAGGGAGCCUGUUUAGCUGUGUCCAGCAACAACUUACGUGGUCCUGCUUGUGUUCCAGGUGAAGCGUCUGGCCGCCGAGCAGAGGUUGUUGCUGCUUCACAUUCGUAGAAUCAAGACCUGCUCAUUCUUUCCUCGGGGGAUCCAUCCAGCAAUGACAUCAUCUCAUGCUGCCACAAGGACCCCAAGUCUGGGCUGCUGGGGACCAGCCACGCUCCCCACUGCUCAUUCCUUCAUCCUAGAGACAUUCUGACUCUCCUCCGACUGCGCUGUGCACAGGUGUGACAAGCUCUUUUACAUCUCAGUCUGCACAACUUCAGGCACUUAGCAGAUUGAUAUGCAUCCAACAAAUAUUGAUUGAAUAUCUGCUAAAUACCCAGUAAUGUUUCAUGAGUGAUUGGGUGAAUAAAGGAAUGCUGGUUCCUUCUGGCCAUAUUAACUCCUGCACAAUACUAAGAAAAAUAAAUUGCACUAGCUGUGGAAUAAUGUGAAUCCCAAUGUCAUCUAUUGAAAUAUUACCUGACUAUUAAGAGGUAUUUAUUUUUGUAUCUUUUCUAGCAAAGUAAAUAAAAUUCUUAAUACAGC
rnacentral:lncRNA from 1 species